rnacentral:rRNA from 1 species
UACGAAGGGGGCUAGCGUUGUUCGGAAUUACUGGGCGUAAAGCGCACGUAGGCGGAUUGGCAAGUCAGGGGUGAAAUCCCGGGGCUCAACCUCGGAACUGCCUUUGAUACUGCCAGUCUAGAGUCCGGAAGAGGUGGGUGGAAUUCCUAGUGUAGAGGUGAAAUUCGCAGAUAUUAGGAAGAACACCGGUGGCGAAGGCGGCCCACUGGUCCGGUACUGACGCUGAGGUGCGAAAGCGUGGGGAGCAAACAGG